rfam:Schistosoma mansoni, Puerto Rico, WGS project CABG01000000 data, contig: 0164
AUCCAGCUGAUGAGUCCCAAAUAGGACAAAACAAGCGUCCUGGAU